UACGAAGGGGGCUAGCGUUGCUCGGAAUUACUGGGCGUAAAGGGCGCGUAGGCGGACAGUUAAGUCAGAGGUGAAAUCCCAGGGCUCAACCCUGGAAUUGCCUUUGAUACUGGCUGUCUUGAGUAUGGGAGAGGUGAGUGGAACUCCGAGUGUAGAGGUGAAAUUCGUAGAUAUUCGGAAGAACACCAGUGGCGAAGGCGACUCACUGGCCCAUUACUGACGCUGAUGCGCGAAAGCGUGGGGAGCAAACAGG
rnacentral:rRNA from 1 species